CGCAUUUGGUUGAAGGCAAAAAUAGUGGGGGCCCGUGCUCUGAGCGAUGUCGUCGAUCGACGGUGCUUGGCUGCUGUCCAGAAAGUGGAGGGUUCCAUCCCAGCCACGGCGGUUGCAUUUGGUUGAAGGCAAAAAUAAUGGGGGCCCGUGCUCUGUGCGAUGUUAGAGCACAUUCCGAUGCUGUCGAGAUUUCGGGGUGGGGGAGGGGGGUCUCGCCCCUGUGCAGCUCCUCCUAUUCUGCUUUGUACAAUGCAUGACUGGUAAUUUUUUUUCAUACACUCGUAUCAUGCCAUACCGAUUCUCACAUACUAUAUCAAGUUAAUUAAAUGGCCACAAGCGUACCAAGAUCGUGUCCUGUUAAUGAUGCACAUGACAUGCAUGUGUCAUUAUUUUCAUGUUGCGACCUGUCAUUUAUGUUCGUUGCACAAUCACACAGAUCUAAGCAACAAUCUACCAGCAUUAAUCAAUCCAGCCACUGAACUGUAUUUUGGCAUCUCUGGAUGGGAACUGAGUUCAUUAAGACACAACCACUUCCGUUUCACUUGUAAAGCAAGGACAUGCCAUUUAUUCGAAGAAUAAAUCUCGUGAAAACAUCA